AUUGAACGCUGGCGGCAGGCCUAACACAUGCAAGUCGAACGAGUGGCGGACGGGUGAGUAAUGUCUGGGAAACUGCCCGAUGGAGGGGGAUCACUACUGGAAACGGUAGCUAAUACCGCAUACCAUCGGAUGUGCCCAGCUGGGAGUAGCUAGUAGGUGGGGUAACGGCUCACCUAGGCGACGAUCCCUAGCUGGUCUGAGAGGAUGACCAGCCCCACUGGAACUGCGGCACGGUCCAGACUCCUACGGGAGGCAGCAGUGGGGAAUAUUGCACAAUGGGCGCAAGCCUGAUGCAGCCAGGCCGGGUGGAUGAAGAAGGCCUUCGGGUUGUAAAGUACUUUCAGCGAGGAGGCGUUACUCGCAGAAGAAGCGCCGGCUAACUCCGUGUCAGCAGCCGCGGUAAUAC
rnacentral:rRNA from 1 species